UAUAAUGUAAAUAUUACUAUAUUUUAAAAUAUCAUUUUAUUGAAUAAUAUUAUUACUAUUGGGGGUAUUCUUAUUGUUGGGGGUAUUCUUAUAUUGGUCGAAGACGUGGGAUAGAAGAUUUUUUGAACCACACCAACCAUUAUAGCUAUGGAUCAUUUGAAUCUGAUAUAAGCAUUAAUUGCUUCCCACCCUCUCAUCCCAUUCUCCUAUAGACCAUACAUCGAGACAAAAAGUGGUAAGAGUGGAAGAGUAGGGAGAGAGAGAAGGUGACAAAGAAAAUACACCCACAUGUCCGGCUUCUGCCCAUGGGUGCCCGC
rnacentral:lncRNA from 1 species